UCGAGUAGGGCCCAAGCAAGCCAGGAAGGAGGAGGUAGCCAGAGUGUUCUCUGCAGCAGAAGACCCCUUGCUGCCCUGCUCAACCCAGACCAGCAUUUGCCAGAUGCAGCAGAAAUGCUUGUUGGGAAGAAUGGAGGAACACCUGCUUCAGAGUGUGAAGUAUACCAGAGUCACUGCACAACUUAGAUACGGCAAUUCUUUAUUACAGUUCCUUCCUUAUCUUUUGUUUCACAGCCCCAAAAUUAUAAUUCAGUGUUAUCCACCCACUAUACAAACUGAGCCAGCUGAAAAGCACUGUGUCAAAAGCAAAACCUUUUUUUCAUUUUCUUUUUUGCAGGGAUGUAUUUCUUUAUUCCUAUAUCUGCACUACCAGGAAAGGGGUUAGCAAGGGCAUAUAUAUCACAAUUCCUUCAGACUGUGCUCUAUCACAGCAUAUUGAUUUAGUGUUUUGCAUACUAAGCUUUAUGUUUACAUGCACUUACUGGAUGGCACCUGUUAGUAUGGCUGUGCCAAAAUAAAUCAGAGAUAAGAGCAUGCGUUCCGUGCAAAGCUACACAUUUGCUUCUAUGCAAAACAGGGGCAUUUGCUGAGUCUCAGAGAGGAAAUGAGUGGCUGUUUACAGGAAAAGCAAGUGUGCAUGGCAGAAGUCCAGAAAUAGUAAUAUACUAUUCACACCCAUAGUGUGAUAUACAGAGAGAAUCCAAAGUGAGAUUAUAUAAAGGUGAUUUAGAGUACUUGUUCACCUAGGUAGAAGUCAUGUUGGGAAGAUUACUGAUGCGGCAGUUUUUCUGAUUGGAGAAUGAGGCUCAAUCUACAUGUGAUGGCUGAAGACUCCUUUCUUUAAUUCUUGGCCAGCCCAAUCACAUAUAAAAUGGACUGGUAGUUUGAUUUUAAGGGCAAAAAGGAUGUGCUAUAAACCUCCUACCUAAAGGUGCUCAGAGGGGUACGAAAAACUUCCUACCCCUUAGGGGUUAGUUUACCACUAACUCCUAUGGGGUUUACUACUGCUUAACACUGCUAACCUCCCCACAGCCCCUUCCCCUUGGUGCCUGCCUCCUUGCAUGGCCCACUUAUCAUCCAUGGAGGAAAAGGUGAGUUCAGGGAAUAGACUGUGGGGUAGUAAUCUGUGGGCAACAGAGGGUAUAGCACCCCUCAACCCACCCCACCCUUUUUGCUUUUAAAGCUGGAUACUUUCUGACAUUAACAGGCUUGUCUCUAGUCCUACUCACAUGUAAUGUUCAACAAACGUGCAGUUGCUGUACAGUGUAUGCAAGUACAGAUCUGUAUGCCUGUAAAGUUAUUAACACAUUAAAACAUUCAACACACAUACCGCAGUACAUUUUCCAUCUGUACCCUGGAUUUGUGGGGGCCUGCCCACAGGUUCACUUUUAAAAUGAAGGCAUGUACAGUCAUUCACAUAAAACCAGGUACAGACACCUGUAUGCACGUAUAAUAUGAAUUCUGAAAAGAGUUUCUCCCUUGUGCAGUUUGAACCUGAGAUUGAAAGAGAUAACGACUUGACCAAGGCCAUGCAAUCAACCCUUUGAAUCAGGUCUCUUAGAUCCACACGGAACUCUAUGACACUGGAUCACACUCAAUGGCUGAACAUCACAUGACGAAUUUGCAGGCGAAAUAGUCGUUUCAAAACAAAUGCCGCAGACAUCAAUCUUUGUAUUAGCCCAAUAUUUUUCAGUGUCAUUUUGUUGUAUUUACUCUUUUUUGCUUUUGUGGUCUAAGAACAUAAAUUUAUUGUUUGAUCGGA